CCUACGGGCGGCAGCAGUGGGGAAUAUUGGCCAAUGGGGGCAACCCUGAUCCAGCCAUGCCGCGUGUGUGAAGAAGGCCCUCGGGUUGUAAAGCACUUUCAGUGAGGAAGAACGCCUGGUGGUUAAUACCCAUCAGGAAAGACAUCACUCACAGAAGAAGCACCGGCUAACUCCGUGCCAGCAGCCGCGGUAAUACGGAGGGUGCGAGCGUUAAUCGGAAUUACUGGGCGUAAAGCGCGCGUAGGUGGCUUGAUAAGCCGGUUGUGAAAGCCCCGGGCUCAACCUGGGAACGGCAUCCGGAACUGUCAAGCUAGAGUGCAGGAGAGGAAGGUAGAAUUCCCGGUGUAGCGGUGAAAUGCGUAGAGAUCGGGAGGAAUACCAGUGGCGAAGGCGGCCUUCUGGACUGACACUGACACUGAGGUGCGAAAGCGUGGGUAGCAAACAGGAUUAGAUACCCGAGUAGUC
rnacentral:rRNA from 1 species